CCUUCGAUAGCUCAGUUGGUAGAGCGGUGGACUGUAGAGAGAGAUGACGCAGUAUGUAGUAAUCCAUAGGUCACUGGUUCAAAUCCGGUUCGAAGGA
rnacentral:tRNA from 1 species